UACGUAGGUGGCGAGCGUUGUCCGGAUUUACUGGGCGUAAAGGGUGAGUAGGCGGUUAUAUAUGUCAGGUGUAAAAAGCUAUGGCUUAACCAUAGUAAGCACUUGAAACUGUAUGACUUGAGUGCAGGAGAGGUAAGCGGAAUUCCUAGUGUAGCGGUGAAAUGCGUAGAUAUUAGGAGGAACACCGGUGGCGAAGGCGGCUUACUGGACUGUAACUGACGCUGAGUCACGAAAGCGUGGGUAGCAAACAGGAUUAGAUACCCUGGUAGU
rnacentral:rRNA from 1 species